CACUUUCACAGGACAAGCUCAGCCACAUAUAGCGCUUUCCAGCAUCUUAUCUGUUCACAUCGGGGCUUGACAAAUUUGGAUUUUUAAAAUUUUUUGGGGGCCGAUGCAAUUCCCAAAUUUGGCAGACUUAGAUUCCGAUCACCAAUUGAUUCGCAAUCGAUUUUCAUAUGUCAGUAACUAACUGAAGAACCCACUAUUGGUUCGCAUGUCCACUUCACAGUGUACAGGUGCAGGGUUCGAUUCCGGUUCUGGCCUUCAUGCACGGAGUUUGCAUGUUCUCCCUGUGCCUGCGUGGGUUUUUUUCGGGUACUCCGGCCCCCUCCCCACAUUCCAAAAACAUGCAUGGCAGGUUAAUGGAACACUCUAAAUUCUCCCUAGGUGUGAGUGUGACUGCAAGUGGUUUUUCGUCUAUGUGUGCUCUGCGAUUGGUUGGCAACCAGUUCAAGGUGCACCCCGCAUACUGCCCAAAGACAGCUGAGAUGGGCUCCAGCACAUCCCUAACGCAUGUGAGGAUAUGUGACUCGGAUAAUAGAUGAAUACAUUACAUUUAAAUGUAGUUGAAGUAAGUUUAAUGCUUGCUCAAGUCUGUCCAUUUGUUGGUCAAUUCUCUUUUAAUUUUGACUAGUUUUAAGAUUUUUCUAAAGUUGGUAUAUUUCUUAUGUGCAACAUUUAAAAGAACAGUAUAUUACAUAUAGUGUAGAAAGACUCAACGGGAACAUUAUUUUAAAAACAACCUUUUACAAAUCAAAUAGAGGUACUCUAGAGCAGCGGCACGUGUCUGCUGAAUGUGGAAGUACUGGAUUUCAAGGCCACAUGCCUCAGGCAAUACAGGCACUCAUUAUGCACAGCACAUAGAACACGGUUGCAAUGGUUGUUUGGAGCUUUGUACUCCUUAGCCACAAUAAGGUCCUCAGAAUGGAUGGCUUAACGUGUGGAAUGUGAACACAAAGGUGGUCCAUCCAGAUGCACUUAUGGUGCAUGGUCUUGUACAGUGGGUUUUUUUUGUUGACAUUUUAUUACUGUAAUGUAAUCAAACUUAAUAUGGACUACUCAACUCAAGUCAACAGUAUUUAUAGAGCACUUUCAAACAGCCAUCUCUGCAUACAAAGUGCUGUACAUGGAGCAAUUUAACAUAUACAACAAACAGUAAAACAAAUCGUUAAAAAAAGGCGAUAGAAAGCACCAAACAGUAAAAUCAAGAACAAAUCUAAGUCAUGCUGAGUCGAAUGCCAAAGAAUACAAGUGAGUUUUGAAGAUGGGCAGCGAGGAGGCUUGCCGAAUGUUCAGUGGGAGGUCAUUCCAGACAGAGGGACCAGCAACAGAAAAGGCUCGAUCCCCUCUGAGCUUGAGUUUAGUUCCUGGUAUUUCUAAUAAUGACUACAAGGGGAGUUGGUUCCGCUUUUCCAUAAACUCCCAAUUGAAAUACAAAAAAAACUAAGUACACAGACAAUAUUUUCAGAAGUUUCAAAUGAAGUUCAAGAGAAGUCAGAGCGCCAAAUCAAAUUCAGAUGCUCCACUUUUAAGCGUUUGAAACGGCCUGUUCGAUCAAAUGAGAGCCAUGGGACUAAGACAAGUUUUGUUUUGUUUUUUAUUUGUUUGUUUUUUUAAACAGAAUCAAAAAAGCCCCAAAUAUAACCAUUUCACUAGAA